rnacentral:rRNA from 1 species
UGUUUCGGCUAGGGGGCCAUCCCGGCUUACCAACCCGAUGCAAACUGCGAAUACCGGAGAAUGUUAUCACGGGAGACACACGGCGGGUGCUAACGUCCGUCGUGAAGAGGGAAACAACCCAGACCGCCAGCUAAGGUCCCAAAGUCAUGGUUAAGUGGGAAACGAUGUGGGAAGGCCCAGACAGCCAGGAUGUUGGCUUAGAAGCAGCCAUCAUUUAAAGAAAGCGUAAUAGCUCACUGGUCGAGUCGGCCUGCGCGGAAGAUGUAACGGGGCUAAACCAUGCACCGAAGCUGCGGCAGCGACACUGUGUGUUGUUGGGUAGGGGAGCGUUCUGUAAGCCUGUGAAGGUGGCCUGUGAGGGUUGCUGGAGGUAUCAGAAGUGCGAAUGCUGAC